GCGACCCCAGGUCAGGCGGGACUACCCGCUGAAUUUAAGCAUAUAAAUAAGCGGAG
rnacentral:rRNA from 4 species